rnacentral:rRNA from 1 species
AACGAACGCUGGCGGCGUGGCUAAGGCAUGCAAGUCGAACGAACCUAACUGAUGGGCAACCAAAGGGUAGGUUAGUGGCGAACGGGUGAGGAAUACAUGGAUAACGUGCCCCGGACUCAGGGAUAGGCGUUGCGAAAGCGGGCGGUAAUACCUGAUGACCCCGUAGGAUCGCAUAGAGUCCCGCGGGCAAGGCUCCGGCGGUCUGGGAGCGGUUCAUGUCCUAUCAGCUAGUUGGCGGGGUAACGGCCCACCAAGGCUGCGACGGGUACCGGGCGUGAGAGCGCGACCCGGGCACAUCGGAACUGAGACACGGGUCCGGACACCUACGGGUGGCCUG